UUUAGUAGUCAGUAUUAUUACGUAAACAUGAAUUGCAGCGAUUUCUUUAGGAGUUACUUGUAAAAAAGAACCCAGCGGUUAGGCAAUAAUAGUAAUGGCAAAAUUAUUAUUGCAAGCACAAUGCCAGAUUCACGAUCACUACAGUGACUGUGAAAGAAGUUACACCUUCAUAUAUUGUACACAGGGUUGCUGCUUUUUAAUUUUAUUAUUUUAUUAUUUUAAUGCUAUUUUACAUAAAACUAUGCAUUUUUGAGGUGUUUAAUUAAUAACUUAGUGUCAUAUUAUUUUAUGUCUUAUGUUAUUUUAAUUUUAUUAUAAUUUUAUAAGAGAUUCCUCUGAGCCCCUAUUAAUCACUGUCCUUUUAAACCCCAGCCUUCCCCUCUUUGGCAACCUAAAUUGCACACAAAUGUUUCCUGCACAAGGCCUUCUCUGCUGGCCUAAAACAGUAUAAUAACCAGUGACUUGUUUUUCCAAUAUAUUUAUCAUAAAUAAUAAAACAAUACAGAGUAUUCUUUUUUAUCCUACGUUCUCGUUCUCGUUCUUCUCAGCUUUUCACCUGGUUGCACUCCUAGUUAAGUUUUUUUUUUUUUUUUAAGCCAAUCAUAUUGCGGCCUUAUGUGUUGCCAGGUUGAAAGAAAUCAGCCUUAAGGCUUUCGAUUCGGCAGUUGUUCUGGGAACCUAAAAUUAAUGGCAAUGGCGUUGUUUUUUAACCAACCAGAUUUUGAGUUGGCAUCAAACUGGCCUUCUACCUGGCCCACAGUUACGUUGGCGAUUUAAGUGAUUUGAUUGGAAGGUCAAAGAACAAACAAAAUCUAGCAGUGAAAGUGAAAGUAGCGAUUUGCACGCUCUAAAAUUUAGUUUUCUCUCUCGUCACUGCUUGGGUAAAGCAGACAUUCUCAAAAACUUCUGCCAUAAGGACGACAGGACAGACUGGACUUCAGCAUUGGCAUGGAUGACGAUAGAAAAGGACAUGAUGUUAGAAUUGCAACAUACGGAUAAUCUGCACAACGGAGUAAUUGAACUAAUUUUAAGGAAAGAGAGGAGAAUGGAUUUUGUGUACAACUAAUAAGAGGUUUUGUGAAUACACAAUACUCCGUCUGUCUGGCGGGGUGGAGGAUCUAAUCCCACAUCCCUCGUUUCUUCCGCUCCCAGAGAAGCCUGGUGCACCAACCUGAGUCCCUGGCAAACAAACGAGGUAUGGAGUUAUUACCUACUCAUCACCGACUGCCCCUGCACCACUCCACCCGCCCCGCCUCACAUCUCUGCUGUGGCAGACAGGGUGGGAACAAAGGGGAGGAGAAAAACAUCUCAAUACAAAGAUGCUUUCACAUCACAGCUCUGCUAAAAGCAGUUUGCACCAUGACGCCAGAGAGACUGAAAUGUACGGUAUUAAGUGUGUCAGCUGAGUGCCCGACACGAGCCAAUGAAUUUCUGAUGGGGAUAUUUUCUCCACAGAGACUGGCGCGAUGCUUCCUCUUUUAGCUUUAACAUCUGCAGCAUAACUGGCCCUUUACUUUCAACGUCUGGGGCCCAAUAUAGAGACAGGUUGUUCCAUCCUGUCUUUGAGAUUUCAAGGUCAUUAGUUUAACCCUAGUGGUGAAUGAAGGUAUUUCUGUAUGGAGAUGUAAUGUUAUGAGUUUUAGUUAAAAAAAUGCAGAUUUGAAUUAUGUUGAUUGGACACAUUCAGUGUCUUCUUUGUCUUUCUUUGACGCCCUGCGAUUGUCGAACAAGACUGGCCAAUGAGCAGCUCAGAGCUGACCUCAAUCGUAUUAAACUAAAACAUGUUCAGUCUGAUCUCAGGCGUCUCCAACUGCUUUGAUAUUAUUUAUUAUUAAGAUGUUUUACAUUUUAUUUGAUGAGAUUUUUCUGCUAUUUUAUUUUUUCCGAAAAUUAAAAGCACAUUUGAAAAGGAGUAAGUCCUUGGACGAGGUAAAGAAAAAAUGUGAAGAAUUCCUUCUCUACAUGGGGAUUCUCUGACGGUGACACCAUUUGCUGAAGUGUGAAGACUGAAAUAGAAGAAACCAAGAGAAACAUCUUUGUUGUUUUUUUCUUUCAUAAUGAUUUUUUUUAAUUUGUAGAACUUUUUAGAACUCUUGGCUCCCACCCAUAAGGAACCUGCAGUGGCUCCUGACAUGAUGGUAACAGUCUCUGUUUUCAUCCUGCAACGUCUCAUGGAACGUUGCCUCCAUCUGACACAACAUCAGGUCUGUUGUUCAGCCUAAUGUGACUGAAAGCCAUUAAACUGCCCAAUGUACCAGGUCACAGUUGUCCAUCAUGCUGUAGAGGAAGAGGAAGGAGAGAAUUGGAAAGUGACUGGGACUGUUCAGGAUGACUUAGUCGCCCCCGCCGCUGCCCCGCCCUGAUGAAAUGGCACAGAUUAUGUGGAAUUAAGACACAGGAACCUUGGCCCUCACGAUGACCUCAUAUUGUUUCUGGGGCCAACGUAAGGCUGCAUCAGCCCCAGGCCUCUCACCAGGGACAAUGAUCCUGUCGGGGGAGUACACACAGCAAACAUUGAUAUGCCAAGUUUUGCCUGCCUAUAAAAACUGCAGUAAAAAAUUAAUGGAUGUUUUGAAAGUCCACUGGGCGACUGACACAGCAGGAUUUCUCAUGGCGCUGAUGGCCAGCCCAGCUAUGACAGAUGAGUUGACAUCUUUGUGAGUGAAGGAGACAGCAGGACCAAAAGGGCUGAAUUCAGCCCUAAAAUAAAUAAACUCAAAAAGUAAUUUUAUUAUAUUUAGUGUUAUUUUCAGGGAGAACGGAUUAGAAAGUGUAAAAACCCAGGGUCAGUAUUGGACGUUUGGACUCCUGCAGUGAAGAUAAUUACUGGGAAAAAUGUUCACUUUCUUUUAAAUAAUUUCAAAGACAACAUGUUCCUAAUAGAGUUUCAGCUCCACACGCUCUGUAGGUCUGCACUGAAGAUGCCAAAGUGAUGAUGGUGCAUUAAAAGAUGAGACUUAUUAUGCGUAGAUAAAUCAGGUCAGAACGGCACCGUUAAAUUUACCCAGCUAUGAAAAAUCUGAGUAGUUGUGUAUUAGUAAUCUGUAAUUAAAGUGAAAUGUAAAACCAGUUAGGGACGGCUCAUUAGAGAUGAUACACAUGUGAAGCCUCAGCUAAAGUCUGGUUCAAAGGUUCAGUGACGUCAGCCUCAGUAACUGACUUGUUUUUUUUUCCUUAGAAAAAAAGUCAUGUGUAAUUUGGAGCUGUCCAAAAAACACUUUGUAAGUGAUUAAUUCGAUUUAACUUUUUAACUGUCUUCCAUCGUCCAUCCACAUAUUAUUGCUCUAAAACUCUUUUUUUUUUUCAGUUUUCGUUUUAUAAAGCACCCUGGUGUCAGACCAACCUCAGUUUUACCAGCCACUGUCAAGAUGUACAGUAAUGAGUACUACUUUGAAUUAUAGUUUUGUAAAUUUUUACUUGAUAUUUUUCUAUAUUAAUAAUUCCAUCAUUUGGAUAAAACAUCAUUACAGAUAGGUGCACAACACAUACGUCUACCUGCUGUUUUUUGUCGUUCUUUUGUAGCAAAUUGGAGAUAAAAACAAUUUAAAUAUAUAAGAGUUUAAAUUGAAUCCUGCAGGAAUAUAAUCAAGACUAAUCAUGAUUAAUUUUGAUUAAUUGCCAGCUACCCUGUGAUUAGUCUGAUUAACAAUUUCAGUUGUUUGAUAGUUCCUGGUUUAAUGUCUUGAACUGUGUCUAAUAGUUUAGGUUUGAAUUUCACCCAGUGUGGGAUCAAUAAAGUUCAAUCUAAUCCGAGUUUGAUCUAAUCUAAUCUAAUCUGUUUACAUGCGUUUCCGCGUUUAUAUUUGAGUGUCCCUCCUCUAAAAGACGUCCCUUCUCAUCCCAAUGAUGAAAUGUUAAAAUAUUGUAAAUACUCUUCCAUCCAGUUUGUCUCUCAUUCAUAUGAGAAAUCCAAAUCUCACGCCGACUUAGUUCUAACAUGUAAAGGACAUCUGCUUAUUUGUAAUACUCAGGGCACUUCUGCGACCAGCCAUGCUGGAAGGACGAGAGUGGGGCAAUAAAAUGCGCUGACAUUUUGCCCCCCCCCCCCCCCCUUUGCACCACAACUCGCCAAUCAUCCUGCUCUCACCUCCAUGCUCACAAUGAAGAGGGAAAUGGAGCGUUAAACACAGUGAAGCCUCUCAUUCUAUAAAACAGCACCAUGAAGGAGAGGAGAUAUCGCUGGUAAAAAUGGCAGAAAUGACUAUGUGUCAUUAACAGACAAUGUGCCUCUGGUUUUCCGACCGUGGGCUCCACAACCGCACACUCUGACCAAAUUUGCAGCAAAUCACUCUGUACGGCAGACGAAAAAUAAAAUCAACAGCCCACUGUCAGAGGUUACACUCCAACAAAACUGCCCUGCAGACUGCGCUGCUGGUGAACCGACUCACAAAUUCAAUGGUGGAACAAGGGGCCUCUCCAUAUCCAGGAAACACAACAAAUUAAGUCUGUAGCAAAGGUCAAUAUUUUGGGAGGAAUCUGAAUUAGCAGUUUAGCAAGUUGCAGGGCUUUAGAUUGGGUAUAACAGGUGCGUAGACCAAAAAGACCAGCAAGAAAAAGCAAAAGAGAAGGAGGAUAUUAGCACAGACUAUAGACUGUAUAAUAUAUAUACAGUAUAUAUAUUUUUUUUUCCAUGGCUGGAUAUUGAUUUUAUUUAACAGGAAUUUUUUUUUUUUCAAUUGUGGUUCAGUUGUUGUUCAAACCCAUGAAAAAUACAUAUGGGUGCUGGAGAAUAAAGAGAGGAAGAGGAAGGUUUGACGCGGUGUCUGCUGCUGCCAGACGUUUGCACAUGAGCUCGGGUGUUUGUUGUGCAGAAAUAGUGUCAAGGUCUAUUGAUUUAGCAGCUACUCCUGGCAUAAUCAGAGCCCAUCCCAGAGGCAGCACUUCCACUGCUCCACUGCACUCCAAUCAUAUUUGCACUUGAUCACUUCCCAAAGAGGUUGUCACCUCAGUGUUUUGUGACACUUAAACCCAAUACAUGUUCACCCCCCCCAACUUAUAAUAAAAUAAGCCUGACCUUCCCCCAGCACACCGCCGUGCUGCCGGAAUGAAAUGUAUGGGUAAGCGCUAGUUAAUGUCAUUUUAUAUUGUUAACUCACUGAGGAGCACGGAGCGGAGCAGACCUGGGUUAGUGGAGAGGCAGAAUACCACAGCAGCCUGGCAGUUUUAUGGACAAGUUUUAUAGAACUCUGAAGCUUAAUCAAGGAAGGCAAAUCAUUCAGCAACAAAAAUCUUAAUAUCCUGAAAAGAGACAAGCUGCCAUGUGCAGAGACAGGCCUGUAAAUAACCAGCGCCUUGUUUGUUCCCACUGUAUAUUGCACUGCAUGGAUAUUAGAGUCCACGGAGGGAAGCAGAGUGAGCCUGGACGACAAAUCAUUAUCACCACAUCAUACAAAAGACACCAGCCAACGGCCAUUGUCUGAGAGGAAUUAUCCUGUGACUGCAAUUAUUUCACACAAAACAAAUUCUCACAAAGAGACACAAACAGUUGUUAAACUUCCUAAAACUGAAAUAGAAGCUAAGUUGCUAAUAAAAGCUAACUGAAUCUUUAUAUAUGUGGGGAAAAAAUAUUUGUGUGUAUUUAUAUAUUUACAUACUUUCUCUAAUCUGUAGUCCAAGGUUUCAUGUUUUUAUUUUCGUUCAUCAUGUUAUUUAACAGUGGCUCAGUAGCAUGUGGUGCCUUCCUGUGGCCAUAAAUGAUAUAGAGUAUAUUAAUGAUAUAAAAGUCAUUACAAUUUAAGUCAAAGGACAAGCCAAACCACUAAAAAAAAAAAAAAGACUUGUGCUUUUUAAAAAAGCCCGUAAGUUUUAACAGUUUCAUAGAGAUAGUAUCAAACGUUCUGGAAUUUUUUUUUUUUUUUUUACCACAAUUAUUCAACACACUGGAUGCAUUGAUUUUGUUGCUCUAUUCAGCAGAGUGCACUCAUAAAAACUUGUCAUCUGGCGUGAUGUAAAAUUUACCUUGGUAUGGGAGGCUGUGAAAACAAGAUUUGUUAGGUGUUAGCUCCAGCUGUCUGAAGUGUUCAGCAUCAGUAACCCUCCACCAAUGAAAAACUCCACAGAGACACAGUCGUAUCUCCUGCUGUCUAUCCAGCUGCCCCAGAAUGAGAUUAUUUACCUUAUGCUUGUCUCAGUCGAUCCUCUAAACUUGCCUUUUUGUAAUCCAUUUGUCACGUUCUGUUCUGCCCCGUCUGCAGAGUCUCGGGGCAUAAGAAUAGGUUAAAAAAAAUCCUUGAACAUUUUUCAAAGUUUUCAUCAUUGAAUUACAUGAAAAAGGGCUGUAACUGUCUCAAAAUUUUACACCGAUGCGGUUGCGAUUGGUUAAUGGUUUCUGUUGAUGUACAGUUUAUUUUCCCUCACGAAGAGACUGGCUCUAAAAACAAACCGUAACACUGCAGUGGAAGACACUGCGGUGAAAUAGAGCAUGUCACGUACAGGCUCGACCCUGGAAGAGUAAUUGAUUGAUAGAUGAUCGGAUGGUUGGACGACAGACAGCAUUCCACCAGAGAUGGGCAGGGAUGGAGACAUACCAGGUAAACUGUGUACAAAUGGCCAGUCCAGCCAUCUCACCUCUUCCUGUCAACCUGCAUCUGGCUGGUGGGGAGAGUGAUGGAUGACAGCUGUCAGUCUGCUCCACCUCGCCCCCUCCACCCCUGAUGUCACUUCUUCCACUGUAACAUUCCAUCUCCUUCUUCUGGCAGGUUUGACAGAGUUGAGCCACAACGAACGUCCGGCUCGGCGGCUCGGCUGCCCCGACAUUCUCUCAAAAUUCCUUCACCUGAACUAAAAAUAAGGGCUACCAAUCAGAAUGUGAAAAUGUUCAGAGGGAGGUGUCGUCAGGACUGUGGGACGCACAUGCCUCUCACUGAAUCAAACAUGAUUGGAAUGACACGAGGUAACAAGUCAGACAGGCGGUGACGGUUGAACCUGAAGUGAUGAAACACGCCCACAGCAGGGGCGCUGUUUCCAAGUGUUACCAAUAUGAUAAUGGCUGUGCUGUCUACAAAAAGGCACCGUGACAAUCAUCCUCUGACAUUAAUGAUUAAUGAACUACUCCAAGUCAGAUUACACACUUCAGGAUCUACAGUAAAAAGAAGGAGCUUUAGUUUAACCAGCAGAAAAGGAGGAGGAAGAACAAAGCUGCACCGAGGGAGAGCGAUGCUGUGGCUACUGUGAGAAACCGCAGAAGAAAUAUGGCACUUUUCAAAACACAGUACUGUAAUUCAAUGUCACCAAGUACAGUUCGCAGAGGGGAAAAACAGAACCAUUCGUUUUAACGUAAACAUGUUUGUCUGAAUUGACCUUGAACAGUAGUUUCUGGACAAAAAAGACAUUUUUUUUUAAUACAAAACCUCCAGCCGUGCGUUAAGAACAUGCUUUAAAGUGAGACACUGAUGUUUGUGUUUAAACCAGUCAGGAGCAGUAUACCUGCGUCAUUUAAGGGACUUUAACUUUGUUCUUUGUUUUUGCUCCUGACCUGCUGAUCGUCCAUCAGCAGCUGGCUACCUCAGGAAUGAGUUUUAGUCUACAACAAAAAUUGGAGAAAGUGGACCAAAAGUGGUGAGAAUUCUAGUUCGUAACCCUUCUAGUCCCAAAAUCCCACAUUAGGCGAGGAAGUGUCCUAGUUUUUGGCAUUAAUAUCAUUAUUGUUCUUCUUGUUACUUGUUUCUCCUAUGAGAUCUGGCAACACGGCUACUAACUUGUAGUCUGAUGUUGUACUUGAGCAUGACGAAGGGGGACUUACAUCUGAGUGAACCCACCCUGGGUCUGGGUUGUUGAAGAUCACGUACAGCUGCUUUCUGCUCAGUGUUAUGGGAGAAGCCGGACAUGGCCCUGGGCCUGUGCCUUUGUCUGCUGCUGCUCUCAACUUCAUGCCACUUGUCAGCGCUGUCAGACUCUGGCUUACUGGCUUAUCUCUGGACCUGAGGGUCCUUGUACUAGUAGAAGACCUAUAUUUUUCCUUAGGUGAGGUUUUGACAGCUGCUAGGACUGACAUGAUCUGUACCAAGAAACAAGCGAUGGGAAAUAAAUGUCUGUACAAAUAAUAAAUAACAGGUACGUGGCUGUGGCAUCGUCAACGUUUUACAUGAAUUACUGAACUGGACAAAAACAAAGACGAGGACACAAUGUCUUCAUUUUGCCGAUCAGUGAAAUCUAGGUAAACUACCUCAUCAUCGUGCCUCCUGCUGAUCAAACAUGGUAACUGUUUAUACACCUUUCGACAAUCAGAAGGUAAAUUCUCUGCAUUUUCAAAA